rnacentral:rRNA from 1 species
UCAGGCCUAACACAUGCAAGUCGAGCGGCAGCGGGAAAGUAGCUUGCUACUUUUGCCGGCGAGCGGCGGACGGGUGAGUAAUGCCUGGGAAAUUGCCCAGUCGAGGGGGAUAACAGUUGGAAACGACUGCUAAUACCGCAUACGCCCUACGGGGGAAAGCAGGGGACCUUCGGGCCUUGCGCGAUUGGAUAUGCCCAGGUGGGAUUAGCUAGUUGGUGAGGUAAUGGCUCACCAAGGCGACGAUCCCUAGCUGGUCUGAGAGGAUGAUCAGCCACACUGGAACUGAGACACGGUCCAGACUCCUACGGGAGGCAGCAGUGGGGAAUAUAGCACAAUGGGGGAAACCCUGAUGCAGCCAAGCCGCGUGUGUGAAGAAGGCCUUCGGGUUGAAAGUAAUUGAGCGAGGAGGAAAGGUUGAUGCCUAAUAC